rnacentral:rRNA from 1 species
CCACGUAGGGGGCGAGCGUUGUUCGGAAUCAUUGGGCGUAAAGGGCGUGCAGGCGGUCCUGCAAGUCCGGCGUGAAAGACCCCGGCCCAACCGGGGGGACGCGCUGGAAACUGCGGGGCUUGAGUACAGGAGGGGAUGCCGGAAUUCCAGGUGUAGGGGUGAAAUCUGUAGAUAUCUGGAAGAACACCAAUGGCGAAGGCAGGCAUCUGGCCAUGUACUGACGCUGAGACGCGAAGGUGCGGGGAGCAAACAGGUUUAGAUACCCUGGUAGUCCGCACAGUAAACGAUGUGCACCGGGUGGCGGGGGGUCGACCCUCGGUACCGUAGCUAACGCAUUAAGUGCACCGCCUGGGGAGUAUGCUCGCAAGGGUGAAACUCAAAUGAAUUGGCGGGG